rnacentral:rRNA from 1 species
GUGACCUCAAAUCAGGUAGGACUACCCGCUGAACUUAAGCAUAUCAAUAAGCGGAGGAAAAGAAACUAACAAGGAUUCCCCUAGUAACUGCGAGUGAAGCGGGAAAAGCUCAAAUUUAAAAUCUGGCGGUCUUUGGCUGUCCGAGUUGUAAUCUAGAGAAGUGUUAUCCGCGCUGGACCGUGUACAAGUCUCCUGGAAUGGAGCAUCAUAGAGGGUGAGAAUCCCGUCUUUGACAUGGACUGCCAGGGCUUUGUGAUGCGCUCUCAAAGAGUCGAGUUGUUUGGGAAUGCAGCUCAAAAUGGGUGGUAAAUUCCAUCUAAAGCUAAAUAUUGGCGAGAGACCGAUAGCGAACAAGUACCGUGAGGGAAAGAUGAAAAGAACUUUGGAAAGAGAGUUAAACAGUACGUGAAAUUGCUGAAAGGGAAACGCUUGAAGUCAGUCGCGUCGUCCAGGGAUCAACCUUGCUUUUGCUUGGUGCACUUUCUGGUUCGAUGGGUCAGCAUCAAUUUUGACUGUUGGAAAAAGGUCAAGGGAAUGUGGCAUCUUUGGAUGUGUUUAUAGCCCUUGGUCACAUACAAUGGUUGGGAUUGAGGAACUCAGCACGCCGCAAGGCCGGGUUUAAACCACGUACGUGCUAGGAUGC